rnacentral:misc_RNA from 1 species
GAUGAAGAACGCAGUGAAAUGCGAUAAGUAAUGUGAAUUGCAGAAUUCAGUGAAUCAUCGAAUCUUUGAACGCACAUUGCGCCCCCUGGUAUUCCGGGGGGCAUGCCUGUUCGAGCGUCAUUUCACCACUCAAGCCUCGCUUGGUAUUGGGCAACGCGGUCCGCCGCGUGCCUCAAGUCGACCGGCUGGGUCUUCUGUCCCCUAAGCGUUGUGGAAACUAUUCGCUAAAGGGUGUUCGGGAGGCUACGCCGUAAAACAACCCCAUUUCUAAGGUUGACCUCGGAUCAGGUAGGGAUACCCGCUGAACUUAAGCAUAUCAAUAAGCGGAGGA